UGUGUAAACGUGUGAAGUCUUCACGGAGAAACUUUCAGAAGCGAUGUCCCAACAAGAAUCUGCCAGUAGGCUACCACAUUACACCUCAGCAGGCACACCAUAGAAGGACCACUCCUGGAUAAGGAUUUGAGCCACUGUCACGACUGCCAUCUACACUAUAUUACACACGGCAGCAGAUGUGGGAGGUGGUGAUCAACGUGACUCGUGAGCAGGUGGAGGACUUCCACGGCCCCGCGGACUACUGCUUCCUGUGUGUGGCCUGGAGCCACCUGAGGACCUCCAAGAGCUGGCAAGGACACGGUCCGCA